rnacentral:rRNA from 1 species
CCUANGGGUGGCAGCAGUGAGGAAUCUUGCGCAAUGGGGGCAACCCUGACGCAGCAACGCCGCGUGAGUGAGGAAGGUCUUCGGAUCGUAAAGCUCUGUCAGUUGGGAAGAACUACCUAAGGGUGAAUAUCUCUUAGGCUUGACGGUACCAACAGAGGAAGCACCGGCUAACUCCGUGUCAGCAGCCGCGGUAAUACGGGGGGUGCAAGCGUUGUUCGGAAUUAUUGGGCGUAAAGAGCGUGUAGGCGGCCUGAUGUGUCAGAUGUGAAAGCCCUGGGCUUAACCCAGGAAGUGCAUUUGAAACUGUCAGGCUUGAGUAGGGGAGAGGGAAGUGGAAUUCCUGGUGUAGAGGUGAAAUUCGUAGAUAUCAGGAGGAACACCGGUGGCGAAGGCGACUUCCUGGCCCUAUACUGACGCUGAGACGCGAGAGCGUGGGUAGCAAACAGGAUUAGAUACCCUANUANUC